GACAGAGGUCCCGAGCGUUAGGCGGAAUCACUGGGCUUAAAGCGUGUGUAGGCGGAUUUGUAAGUACCUUGUGAAAUCCCACAGCUUAACUGUGGAACUGCUUGGUAUACUGCUUAUCUUGGGCCACUUAGGGGUUACCGGAACAAACGGUGGAGCGGUGAAAUGCGUAGAUAUCGUUUGGAACGCCAAUGGUGAAAACAGGUAACUGGGAGUGUGCCGACGCUGAGAUACGAAAGCCAGGGGAGCGAACGGG
rnacentral:rRNA from 1 species